AACGAACGCUGGCGGCAUGCCUAACACAUGCAAGUCGAACGAUUGCCUUCGGGUGAUAGUGGCGCACGGGUGCGUAACGCGUGGGAUUCUGCCCUUAGGUUCGGAAUAACAGCUGGAAACGGCUGCUAAUACCGGAUGAUAUCGCGAGAUCAAAGAUUUAUCGCCUGAGGAUGAGCCCGCGUUGGAUUAGGUAGUUGGUGGGGUAAAGGCCUACCAAGCCGACGAUCCAUAGCUGGUCUGAGAGGAUGAUCAGCCACACUGGGACUGAGACACGGCCCAGACUCCUACGGGAGGCAGCAGUGGGGAAUAUUGGACAAUGGGCGCAAGCCUGAUCCAGCAAUGCCGUGUGAGUGAUGAAGGCCCUAGGGUUGUAAAGCUCUUUUACCCGGGAAGAUAAUGACUGUACCGGGAGAAUAAGCCCCGGCUAACUCCGUG
rnacentral:rRNA from 1 species